GCAGCAGCCGCGGUAAUACGAAGGGUGCAAGCGUUAAUCGGAAUUACUGGGCGUAAAGCGUGCGUAGGCGGUUUGUUAAGUCUGUUGUGAAAUCCCCGGGCUCAACCUGGGAAUGGCAAUGGAUACUGGCAAGCUAGAGUGUGUCAGAGGAUGGUGGAAUUCCCGGUGUAGCGGUGAAAUGCGUAGAGAUCGGGAGGAACAUCAGUGGCGAAGGCGGCCAUCUGGGACAACACUGACGCUGAGGCACGAAAGCGUGGGGAGCAAACAGGAUUAGAUACCCGCGUAGUCCCUGUCUCUUAUAC
rnacentral:rRNA from 1 species